rnacentral:lncRNA from 1 species
UUUGAAGAUAUUUCCUUUUCCACCAUAGGUGGCAAAGGGCUCCAAUAAUCCGUUUGCAGAUUCUACAAAAAGAGAGUUUCAAAACUGCUCAAUCAAAAGAAAGUUUCCACUCUGUGAGAUGAAUGCACACAUCACAAAGAAGUUUCUCAGAAUGCUUCUGUGUAGUUUUUAUGUGAUGAUAUUUCCUUUUCCACAAUAGGCCUCAAAGCGCACCAAAUAUCCACUUGCAGGCUCU